AUACGGAGGGUGCAAGCGUUAAUCGGAAUCACUGGGCAUAAAGCGCACGUAGGCGGCCAAGUCAGUUCGGUGUGAAAGCCCCCGGCUCAACCGGGGAACUGCAUCGAAAACUGCUUGGCUCGAGGAUGGUUGGGGUGAGUGGAACUCCUGGUGGAGCGGUGAAAUGCGUAGAUAUCAGGAGGAACACCAGUGGCGAAAGCGACUCACUGGACCAUAUCUGACGCUGAGGUGCGAAAGAUAGGGUAGCGAACGGGAUUAGAAACCCGGGUAGUCC
rnacentral:rRNA from 1 species